rnacentral:misc_RNA from 1 species
UCGCUCGCUCGCUCCUCGCGCCACUUUUUUUUCGCUGCCGUAAUACCUCGAGAGCCGACGUCCAUUUUGCUGGCCCGUUUUUGCGAGCGUCUUUGAUUUAUGAGUCGCAGCCGUACGCCAUAAGUAAUCGUAAGUAAAUUACACGUGACUUCGUAAAUCGUUUCCCGUGCGCGACUCCUUCGCUCGCGAAUAAUUGGACGUCGUCCCGGAAAGGUACGUACUCGCGGAGACGUUUUCUUUUUCGCACGACUACACGGGGUAGCGUCGGUGCCACGGCUUGCCGCUGUUUCUCUUGAAAACGCCGGGACCUGAAUAAAAGAAGGAGAGCGAGAGGAUCCACGCGCCUCGUGACUCGGUGCGUGGAGUGAGAGCAAGGAAGUUUGAAAAAUGGAUGGAGCACCAGGAGGAGGAAGUAGAGGCGGAUUUCGUGGUCGUGGAGGCCCUGGUGGAAUAAUGAGGGGACGCGGCGGUUUUGAUAGAGGAAGAGGUUUUUCAUACAGAGGUGGUCCGCCACGAGGCGGUAACAUGAUGCGUGGUGGACGAGGCAACGGACCUGGUGGUGGUAUGAGAGGAGGCCCACCUAUGAGAGGCGGCAGGGGAGGCCCUCCUGGUAGAGGUGGACGAGGUGGACAUUUUCCUCCAGGACCGCCAGAACCAGGAAUGUCUAGUGGACCUGGAGGUGGUCCUCCACCCUUAGGAAUGGGUGGUCCUCCACGAGGUGGCGGUGGAAGAGGUGGCGGAAGUAAUAGCUUCCGCAGUAGAGGUAGAGGCGAUUUCGGCAGAGGAGAUAGCCGCGGAGGUAGCAGCAAUUUCCGAGGUCGCGGUAUGGACAGAGGAAGAGGAGGAUCUAGAGGAUCGAGCAGAGGAGGACCAGGUGGUCGUGGAGGUAGCUUCUCUGAUCGUGGCCGAGGAGCUGGACGUGGUGGCCCGACGAAACGAGGUGUUCCACCUAGCUCAAGUGGACCGUCCAAGAGGCCGCGCUUUGAUCAGUCGUCUUCCCAAUCAGCCAAUGGAUAUGCCACUCAAGCACCUAACCAAGGAGGUUACGGAGGUUCAAAUAAUGCUUAUGGCGGUCAACAACAGCCGCAGCAACAACAGUCAGUAGGAUAUGGUGGCGGUGGUUAUGGUUCACAGCAAGGCUACACACAAUCUUAUCAGGGGUACGAAAGCUACCAACAGCCCCAGGACUAUGGGCAAACGGGUUAUCCAUCUGCAGCAGAUAACAGAUACGGCGGGGCAUCAUCAGUUUCGGCUGCAGGAGGAUUCGGUUCUAAUGAUCCCUACAGUUAUGGCAAAGCUCCGCCAUCAGGAGGCAGUGUCGAUUACUGGACUGGGGGACGGGGGCAAUUAUGCCUUUGCUAAUUUAUACGAUGACCAAUCUAAUGCCAACAUAAUCAACCGGGGUGGUUACUCGACGCAACCUUACGAUUAUCCGAGUCAGGACGGUGUUUAUGGAAAACAGGACUAUGGUAAGUACAACUCGCAGUACAAAAAAGUUCAUUGAUCAGAAGAGAAAGAUUUAGCUAAGCCGCUUGGAGAGAAAAAUGUGUUUGUGUAAAACUUAGACAGUGAAAUCUAUUAAAUAAGUAAUAUAACAUCCAAGAAAAGCAUAUUUGCACAUUUGAAGUUCUAAAGAAGAACGUUUACGUUAUUAUAAGAGCAUUUGCGAUAUACAAAAACGUAUAGUAACAAAAAGAUUCUUACGAGUCUGUCCGUACAGAUACCUAGAAAAUAUUUAUAUAAUUUUUACAGUAUUUGAGAGUGUUAGCAAGAUUAAAAGACUGUCCACAAAAAUAUUUGCAAAGCUAUAUCUACGAGAAAUUCAUUUUUUCUAAUAGUUAAGAACCAAAAGAAAAGCAAAGGCAAAUAAAGUUAUGGCGUCUCAUAGUAUACACAUAUAACAUACACAUAUAAAAACGUCAAGAAGUAACAGGCAGGAUUAAUAGCAAUAUCAUAGAAAGAUCUAUAUAAGUAGGCCGUUUGGUUUUGUGUAUAUGUAGAGAAGCAGGAUCAUUAAUUCUAUUUCUCGAGUAAAAUUGAACGGAGGAGCUAUGAUUGUUUGCAGGUGGCAGUGCUGGUUACCAAAACGCCCAGUCUCAACGACGUUAUUAAAGAUAUUCGUCACUUAAUAAUCAGUCCGCUCUUAUUAAUUUUGUAUUUAAGUAGAUAACAAUUCUCCCAAGCGAAACGUAGAACAAAUUGAAUCUGUCCCCCGUCACGCGAAAAGAGAUAAUACUUGUUCUCUUUUUGAAACUGCGAGAUACAAUUGUUAGUGAAAGAAUGAUAAUCGAGAAAUCUGGAAGCAAGGUGACUUUAAAAAAAAUGGACGAAGGUUCUCUGAACAAUAAUUGUACGCAAUUUUAUCACUUUUGUGAAGAUUCAUACAUCAUACGUAUAUCGAAAAAGGUUGAGAAUUUAUAUUGUUAGACACGUAUCAUAAUUAUUUUAAAUAAUUUUAAAGAAUGGACAGUGAAGUCACGCGAUUUUUGAUAAAAACAAAAAAUUUAAUUUAUUCAAUAUUCAACAUUCACGACGCGCAAAUGUUUUGACUCAUUUUCGAGCUAUCCUUAGUGGGAAUACAAUAUUCACAAAAUUUCACGAAUAUACCUUUUUCCUUUGCAGAGAAUGAAACUUUUUAAUCAUUAUUCGAAAAAUUGUUUUUGAUUCCCGGGUUUUCUAGAGUACUUUUUUGUGUCACUUUGUUUCCAAGAUUUUUUUCACUUUCCUUUGCUUGUCUUCGUCACAUAUACACGUUGAAUUUGAUCAAUAUGUCGCUUGAUGAUAUAGGGAAUGCAUAUUUUAUACUUGAUGAUUAGCAUAGUGCACAAUAACAUUAUUUGACGUUAUUUGAUGUCGCUUAUACGACAAUCUAGGAUUAAGAUCCAAGUAUAAUUAUCCCGUAAGUCGAGCGGUGAACUAUCUUCCGUUCUCUUCACGAUUUGCGUAGCAUAAUUUAACAUAAUUUAACAUAACAGUAAUAAUUAAUGAGAAACAGUAAUGAAAGCGACAACACUGUAAAGUCAAUGUCCUGUUUUGUAAAUAGAAAAUCGCAAAUAAAUCCUUUUUUGUGGAAAGGAAGAGUCAUUGAGAAUAACGUUAAACACAAUCACUUACUGUAUUUCGAUAAUUACUCGUUUUUGAUUACCUAAUAUUUGAGUUUUAUGUCUAUUUAAGAAUUAAAGUAGAAAACGCGAUUCUUUUUGGGGAUAUUGAAAAUAUCAAUUUUAUUGUAAUAUUGUAAUAUAAUUAUUUUAUUUGUCAAAAUUAAUCAUUUAUUUUAUCAUUUAUUGUAAAUUUUUUGAUAAUAUUAGAUUUUCCAUCAGUUUUAUAAUUUAUAAUUAUAUAUUAAUAAUAACUUUGCAGUUUAACUUGGUCGAGGUAAAUCAUCGCAAUCACCAUCGAUAAUCAGUCAUUGGCAAUUGUCAAUGUCAUAUAUUGGACAAUCGUUAAUUAAUAAUUAAAUUAAUUAAACGAUUUUUUAUAAAGUUAAAUGAAAAUAACUUUAUUUCUUUUCUUGACAAUUUAGCUAAGAUUGCAGAAAGAAAAAAAAAGAAUAAAUUUUGAAGUUUUUUUCCUUAAUAGAAAAUUGUUCAACCAACCGAAAGAAAACCGAAUAGAAUAGUGAAUUUAAACAAUUCAGUUAUACACAAUAUCUGAUUCUUUGUCAUGCAUUAUUUUAUGUUAAUUAACGAAACUCGCUUGAAUUAUUUGUACUGUGUUUAUUGUAUACGAUACGUAUUUUACAAAUAAUUAUUUAGCGCAUCAUGUUGUUAUGUCUCGAUCUAUUGUAAAUGAUCGCUCGAUAAAAAUGAAAGAUACAUUGAAAAAAAACGAAGCUCAAGAAUA